rfam:Desulfobacterium vacuolatum DSM 3385 genome assembly, contig: Ga0002809_118
UAGAUUGGCGUGGGCGAUCCAAUGGGAAUGGCCAUUGCGCAUAUCAUGGCAUCAUGCAUGGGGGGUAUUCGGACAGCCGGAGAUCUGGUUGCCUGGAUGC